CAGACUAACACGGCUGCUACUCUGAAACCUGUACAGUCUGUGUAACAGGUGUCAUUAUAAAGACAGUGAAGGAAACCAAAAUCAAAUUCACCAAACGCUUAACUCAAUAUAAAUGUAUUGAAUUUCAGCGAAGCCUUUCUGGGCUCUUGGAAGUCAGUCUGGUGCUCUGAAAUGUUGAGACUUGGCAAGUGUACAAAUAAGAUUGAAGAACUUGAGAUUUGAUUUCCUCAAGCAAUUCUCAUGAUGUGUAAAGUUGUUUAGAUUAAAGACUUUCAAAACCAAAUCUCUUUUGGGAACACUUGCUGUAGCAACUCCAUUGGCCAUCUCCUUGCCUAAGUCCCUGAAGCAACUGCUUGCAGCUUUGCUUUUCUCUUAGUAAAUUGCCAUCAUUCUUGUGCCCUGUAGGUCUGUUGGGCAGAACAAAAAGUAUAAUUGUUUAGUCCUUUGGAUGUACAUUGGGGUAUCCAAACUUUAUCCCGUCAAAGGCUGCAUUGACAAGAACUCAAAUGUCACAUGCAUAAACUAACAGCUUGCAGCUGUCCUCUCAAUGUGGAAAUGCAGCCUAUGGAAACUACAGAUCUCAACAUGCAAGAAGUCUUGGUUGUGCAUCUCAAGAUGAGCACUGCAUGCAGACAUCUAGUCUUGGAAUCUUCUCAUCUCAGUAUUAAACAUGAGGGCAGCUGUUGGCCUUGUCACUGAGGUUGAACACAGGCCGGGGUAGUCAUUUUUUUUUUUGUCAAGGUCCAAAUUUCUUGGUCAAGGGCCAGACUCCAGAGAAAAUAAUAAAAAAAUCAAUAAUAAGUAAACAAAAAGAUUUUGGUGUCUGUUCAAAAAUGUUUGGUGGUCCAGAUUUAGCCCAUGGUCCACCUAAUGACUAUCCCUGUUGUAGGCUGUGGUUUUACAUCCCAUAUAUCAAAAGCAGUGCUGCUUCACUUAUCUAACUGGAGUGGUCACAUGUCAGGGAGAUAUGGUAUGCAAGUGGUUAAAAGAAAACACUGGCCCUUUAUGGCCAAAUAGAUUGAUAUAAUGAAGAUACGGUCAUGCUAGGCAUGAUUUUGAGACUUCUGUGAUUUUGCAGCAGACACUUGCUUAUUCUGCAGUCCUGCUCAAACACACAUGUGCAUCAUAUCACAUGUUCAGUUCUUGUAAGUGAAGAUGAUCGUUGAUCAGAAAGUCAUGUAGAAGUUUGUAGGAGACAGGAUGAACCAGUGUCCAUGUAAGUGGUCAUGACCGUCCCUCUGCGCCUACAUCUGAGCGGGGGUGCCAUGCCUUCUUGGAGUCUGGUCUGCUAGAAUACACUCAAAACAAAGAAAGAGGGAAUUAGCCGUGCUCAGUGGGCCCCGAUCUUCAAACAGGGAAGGGCUGUAAACAGUUUGGGCUCUGGCCAGCGGUCAGGACAGAGUGGUACUAUGUUAGAAGCCCAGCCCUCAAGCAGGGUGAGACAGUAAACAGUCAGGGCCCUGGCCCAUAGUCAGGCAGAGCAGUAGCCCAAACUCAGUCUGUGAGGCUCUGGCAGAGGUGAGCACCAUGCACAGGCUCUGGGGCUCCUGCAGAGGUGUUGGAGGAGUGCAGGUCUCCUGGCCUAAGGAGGGGGAGCGGCAGGGGGGUCGUGAGCCUGCUCGAUUUCACCUCAUCCCAGCCCAGGGCCCUAACAGUGGUGGCGUAGUCUGCCACUGGGUCAGCAGGGAUCCGCCCGCAACACGUUGACCUUGUAUCGGGUCAGCUCUCAACCAGACUGUUGUCUGGUUUUCCUGGACUGCUUUCUACUCUCCCACUCAGGUGUACCAGUGUCCAGGGGUUGUCCUCAGUCUCCCCAGGAUAUACUGGCAAGGGUAGCAGUAGCAGCUCCUCAGUGUUGGGAGUGGCCGGGGUUUUGGGAAGCUCGUGCAGACCCCCUGGUCAGCCACAGUUCUCCUUGGGAUCCCAUUCCAGCAGCAGGGAAGAUGUAUCUGUCUCCCUUGGCAGCUCCCUCCCAACUGAGCUGCUGGGCCGGCCUUUUAUACUUCUUCUUCCUGUCCAGCCCAUCCGCUUCUGGUAUGCGGGGCAUGGUCCGCCUGGCUCCGCCCACUAGGUGGCUUGUGGUGUUCCCUUCGCGUCUGCCUCUCAGGAAGGCCAUGUCUCCUUGCUACAUUCUAAAUCGGAGAGCUAUCCCCACAGUAUAAAGGAAGGUUGUUCCAGGCAGCUGGAUUUGCAGAGGAAAAAACCCUUCACCAACAAUAGUAAAAUUAAGAGAUGAAGCAGGUGUUAUAAGAAAGUGAGCAGAAGUUGGUGCAACUCCACAGAAGACUUUUUAUAACAAAGAUUAACUGAGUUGUGUCCUAAAAUGAUUGGGGAACCAAUGAACUUGUUUGAGGAUGGGAUGACAUGGUCAUGCUUAUUUGUACAUAUCAGAAGGAGGGCAUUCUGCUGCAUAUGCUUGGGUUUGGAGGGUUGACGCUUGAAGGAGGCUAUAAAACCAGUGAGAGGAGAUGAAGGCCUAGAAGUGUAGUCAAGGCAGUAGCAUGGCUGGGUAACAUGGAAGGGGUGAUGCAGGAAGAAAUUUAUCUCUGAGUAGGGAAUGUCUUUUUGGUCUGUAUUUGUAUAGCACCUUGCACAGUGGGCUCCUGCUCCAGUCAGAUGACUAAUAAGAGGAAAGUUUGGGAUCAGGAAGAUACCAUGAUUACAUCCAAAGGCAGCAAAUGGAAGAUGUGAGUUGAGGGGAUGACGAGAGAGAGAGAGAGAGAGAGAGAGAGAGUCAUGUUUGAUGAUGCUCUUGCCCAAGAGAACUGCUUGUCUGAGGCAUUUAACUGUGAAAAGUUUAGGGGUCAUGACAAGUUUUCCUUGGUCAAGAGGCAGAGAGGAUGAAGAAAGAGUAAUCAAUUUUUCAAGAAAUGUUACUGUUUAGUAUUAUGAGCAUAAAGUAGUGGUUAAGGUUUAAGGGAUGUAUGAAAGAAAUGGGGGCUAGUUAGGAAACAGUGAGUGGGGAGUGAAACAGGUGCAGAGGACUUGUCACUAUUAGGAGAGAUUUCAGAAGCCAUUAGAUAUAAGUGUGGAACCAUGGCUGGAUGGAACCUAUGUUGGAUGUUCAGGAGCCUGGAAUUAUCCAGUGUCGGAGGCUGUACAGAGCCUAGAGAGGAGGAGUCUUCCGUGAAAAUUUGGAAGUUCAGUGAUAGAACGGAAAUUCUGUGCUAUACCUAGGCCAAACCUCAGGAGGAUGUUGUGAGGAAGGGUGCUUGAGGAGUUUUGAAAGUGAUGGUCUCAAGCUCUUUAUUGAGAAAGGAAAGGCUACAAGCAGGACAGUGGUUAGGGCAGGGUCAAGGGAUGUCUUUUAAGUAGGGAGAGGAAAAAUUUAAAGAGCUAUAAGGCAGAGCUUAAAAAAUCCACUCACCUAUUGUGACUCUAAGAGCCUGUUUUAUGCCAACUGGCAAACGGUUCACUCUGUACAUUGUUGUCAGAAUAUUUAGCCAGUGCCUUGUAAGGUAUCAUAUGAAAACUGGUGACAUGCUGGACAUGAAUAUCAUUGUGAGAUGUAUGUAGGGAUUGUGUAUACAGAGUUAGGUAUGUGUGUUUGAAAUAAGUUCUUAAAAUGUGUUUUGGAGGCAGUUGUUUUGGAUUUACCUGGCAGCAUGGACGAAGUUAACAGACAGAUGAGAAAACAGCAUGGCUUAAUUACCAGCAAAGGUCAAUAGAAGUACAUUUGCAUCUAAAGUAAACAGUGAUCAAGCCAAUCAAAAAAGCAAAUUAAGCACAGGAUGAAGAACCGGCUUAGUACCUGCACACCAGAGAACAAGCAGCAGAGGAGAGGAACUUUAUCUGGGUUCUUUUCAAAGAAUAUAUUUUAAAGGCUUUCUGGGUUAUAAGAGGGGAAGAAAAGGGGCCUCUUGCUAUGCCUCGCAUAGGGAACAAAGGAAACAGCACCCUCUGAUUCUGUGAAUGGUAGAUGCUCCUGUCGGGCGGGCUGGGGAUGCUGAUGAUUUGAUGUAAACUGUUUAGACAAAGAUUGUAGCUUGCUAAAGUUAAGUUUUAUUCACUAAAAAGUAUGUUAUUGUUUGUAACCAUACCUACCUUUUUCUGUUUAGUGUUGCAUAAAUUUGUAUUCUUUAUUAAUAAACAUAUGCUUAGUUUUACUGUAAACUGUCUCA